rnacentral:lncRNA from 1 species
AAUGUAUAAAAGGACAAAAAGAGUCGUAAUGGCAAAAGUAUUAUCAGUUGAGUUUCAGCCAGGGUAAAGGAACACUCUGUACCCGGCCUGAGUCAGUCAGAAGUCUGGGCUCUGGACUGAGUUGCUAGUAGUGACUUUCAGGUUUUCUAAGAUCCAAGAGCUAUACAUUUGCAGCUUCCAGGACACCAAAAAGGACUGGGCAGAAAGACAUGGUGCUCACACAGUCAUUGAGUGUCUGCUGGUGCACUACAGAAACCACAAAACUUACAAUUCACUGACUGAUGGAAGAGAGCCAGGGAGGUGAGUUACAGGAAUCUGCCUUUGCUCAUUCCCCAGCAGUGGAGUUACAGACCACUGUGGCCACUUUAGCUUUGAUAUGGGUGAAGACCUGAGCUCAGACAGUUCUCUGACAAAGAGGCAGAAAAGCAGUGACAAAUGACUCUCCUAAAGUGAUGUUCAGCUGGCAAAAUUCCCAGGACUGGUACAGAGAGUGACACGGGCUCAACUAAUCAGAGACAACAAAGUGAGUCCACAGAGUCAUGUGCUUGGCAGACACCUUUCCCACCCAUAGGCAUAGCUAUAUCUUCAUUCCCAUGGCCACUCACUAACCUCCUCUUGGGAUUGCAUCUGAGAUGGCAGUAGCUGCUUGCCAUCAGUUGGCCCUGCCUUACCUCAUCCAGGUUGAUGGUGCAUUGCUGAAAUAAAUUAGCUGUGCACUUUACUACAGU